AACCUUCACACAAGCUACAGCUGUAGACAGGAAAUCAAUGGAUACAGGGUCCUGGCAGCAAAGGAUCUGGGGAUGCUGAGAAGGCUGAUGGACAAAGCUGUGAUGGCAUCACAGCUUAACUGUCAAGUAACUGUCACCUGUUUCGUAAAGUGUGAGAUCAAACUGUCUAUUAGACUCUUCUAAGCCCUCUAGGUUGUCUUGUUUUUUUUCCCAGGUUGCUUUUCUUCGACUUCUUCUGAAACCUUUCUUCUCAAUUCCGUAAUAAAAAAUACAGCUGACGCUCGAAAAAGCCCAGGUUUGAAUGGUGUGGACCUACUAAGUGUGGACAGAGGUAGUCCCAGUUCAUCAUCAGGGGACACCAAGGCAAGAACUCACGGCAGGAACCUGGAGGCAGAGACUGAAGUAGAAGCCAUGGAGGAACACUGCUUACUGACUUGCUGUCCACGGCUCAUCUAUGUUAUAUAGGCCAGGCUCACCUGCCUGGGAAUGGCACCGCUCAUAGUGGGCUGGACCCUCCUAUGCUAAUUAGCAAUCAAGAAAAUCGCCCCGGAUGUGCUUACAGUCCAUUCUAAGGGAACCAUUUCCUCAAAUGAAGUCCCCUCUUCCCAGGUCUGUCAAACUGAUGGCUGAAGCCAAUGAUAGAAAUGAUUGCUGUAGUUUUU
rnacentral:lncRNA from 1 species